rnacentral:rRNA from 1 species
UACGUAGGGGGCAAGCGUUGUCCGGAAUUAUUGGGCGUAAAGCGCGCGCAGGCGGCUAUUUAAGUCUGGUGUUUAAACCUUGGGCUCAACCUGGGGUCGCACUGGAAACUGGGUGGCUUGAGUACAGAAGAGGAAAGUGGAAUUCCACGUGUAGCGGUGAAAUGCGUAGAGAUGUGGAGGAACACCAGUGGCGAAGGCGGCCCCCUGGGCCGCGCCUGACGCUGAGACGCGAAGGCUAGGGAGCGAACGGG